rnacentral:rRNA from 1 species
AUGAGGUUGUCCGUGAUCUGGAUGCGGGAGGAGUCGUUGAGGUGGAUGCCGUCGGUGUUGGGGCUGUCCGCCGGCGCCACCACCCGGAGGAAGUUGGCCUUCACGUCCACGCACCGCGUGAAGGACAGGUGGAACUGCGGCCCGUUCUGCAGCGUCACGCCCUGCACGCUCACUCCCCUGCACUCCUCGAAGUGCAACGCCUGCAACACAACAGCAUCCCAAAACCAUCAGAUUAAUCUCGCCGCCGGUUCAAGACCGAGAUUCAGGUCGUCGACUCACCCUCGGAGGAGGCCGCGUGUUGCAGGGCUGCGGGAAACCAAGAUACAUGUGUCACUCUAA